rnacentral:rRNA from 1 species
CCAAUAGCGUAUAUUAAAGUUGUUGCAGUUAAAAAGCUCGUAGUUGAAUUUCGGGAUCAAUUUAUCGGUCGUGCCAACGGUAUGAACUGGUACAAUUGGUUUCUCCCUUCUGAUGAAGCACGAUGUCAUUAACUUGGUGUCGUGGGGAAUCAGGACUGUUACUUUGAAAAAAUUAGAGUGUUUAAAGCAGGCCUUGGCUUGAAUACAUUAGCAUGGUAUAAUGAAAUAGGACGUUUGAUCCUAUUUCGUUGGUUUCUAGGAUCGACGUAAUGAUUAAUAGGGAUAGUUGGGGGCAUUAGUAUUCAAUUGUCAGAGGUGAAAUUCUUGGAUUUAUUGAAGACUAACUACUGCGAAAGCAUUUGCCAAGGAUGUUUUCAUUAAUCAAGAACGAAAGUUAGGGGAUCGAAGACGAUCAGAUACCGUCGUAGUCUUAACCAUAAACUAUGCCGACUAGGGAUCGGAUGAUGUUAAUUUUUUAAUGACUCAUUCGGCGCCUUACG